rnacentral:rRNA from 1 species
UGGGGAAUCUUCCGCAAUGGACGAAAGUCUGCCGGAGCAACGCCGCGUGAGUGAUGACGGCCUUCGGGUUGUAAAGCUCUGUUAAUCGGGACGAAUGGUUCUUGUGCGAAUAGUGCAAGGAUUUGACGGUACCGGAAUAGAAAGCCACGGCUAACUACGUGCCAGCAGCCGCGGUAAUACGUAGGUGGCAAGCGUUGUCCGGAAUUAUUGGGCGUAAAGCGCGCGCAGGCGGAUUGGUCAGUCUGUCUUAAAAGUUCGGGGCUUAACCCCGUGAUGGGAUGGAAACUGCCAAUCUAGAGUAUCGGAGAGGAAAGUGGAAUUCCUAGUGUAGCGGUGAAAUGCGUAGAUAUUAGGAAGAACACCAGUGGCGAAGGCGACUUUCUGGACGAAAACUGACGCUGAGGCGCGAAAGCCAGGGGAGCGAACGGG